CCUACGGGGGGCUGCAGUGGGGAAUAUUGGACAAUGGGGGGAACCCUGAUCCAGCCAUGCCGCGUGUGUGAAGAAGGCCCUCGGGAUGUAAAGCACUUUCAGUGAGGAAGAACGCCUGGUGGUUAAUACCCAUCAGGAAAGACAUCACUCACAGAAGAAGCACCGGCUAACUCCGUGCCAGCAGCCGCGGUAAUACGGAGGGUGCGAGCGUUAAUCGGAAUUACUGGGCGUAAAGCGCGCGUAGGUGGCUUGAUAAGCCGGUUGUGAAAGCCCCGGGCUCAACCUGGGAACGGCAUCCGGAACUGUCAAGCUAGAGUGCAGGAGAGGAAGGUAGAAUUCCCGGUGUAGCGGUGAAAUGCGUAGAGAUCGGGAGGAAUACCAGUGGCGAAGGCGGCCUUCUGGACUGACACUGACACUGAGGUGCGAAAGCGUGGGUAGCAAACAGGAUUAGAUACCCUUGUAGUC
rnacentral:rRNA from 1 species